CCAAAUGGAACCUACAUACUGGCACGUCCUGAUGGAGAGGAGGCAAUGCCCCCUAUCAAUGGGUAAUACCUAAAGAAAUACUACCCAUGAUGCAUACUCAAGAAAAGAGACUCAAUGCAAAGCAAGCAAGAAAGUCCAAACAAAGCUUAACUCUUUUUAUUGCAUUAUAAGGGAAUACAAGUUACAGUCGAAAGCCCAUUAUUAGGGAACUUACAAAUCUCUUGCAUCUGAGGAAAAGAGAA
rnacentral:lncRNA from 1 species